rnacentral:rRNA from 1 species
UGGGGAAUUUUGGACAAUGGGGGCAACCCUGAUCCAGCAAUGCCGCGUGUGUGAAGAAGGCCUUCGGGUUGUAAAGCACUUUUGUCCGGAAAGAAAUCGCCCUGGCUAAUAUCCGGGGUGGAUGACGGUACUGGAAGAAUAAGCACCGGCUAACUACGUGCCAGCAGCCGCGGUAAUACGUAGGGUGCAAGCGUUAAUCGGAAUUACUGGGCGUAAAGCGUGCGCAGGCGGUUGUGCAAGACAGAUGUGAAAUCCCCGGGCUUAACCUGGGAAUGGCAUUUGUGACUGCACGGCUAGAGUGUGUCAGAGGGGGGUAGAAUUCCACGUGUAGCAGUGAAAUGCGUAGAUAUGUGGAGGAACACCGAUGGCGAAGGCAGCCCCCUGGGAUAACACUGACGCUCAUGCACGAAAGCGUGGGGAGCAAACAGGAUUAGAUACCCUGGUAGUCCACGCCCUAAA